rnacentral:misc_RNA from 1 species
AACUGAUACUACCUGCGGGAACCUGCGGAAGGAUCAUUAAUGAGAAGCUGCCCCUCGUGGGUAGACCUCCCACCCUCUGUGAACUUACCUUUGUUGCUUUGGCAGGCCCGUCCUCUGGACCGCCGGCUUCGGCUGGCCCGUGCCUGCCAGAGGAUUCCAAACCCUGUCUGUCAGUGUUGUCUGAGUCUAUAUGAAAUCGUUAAAACUUUCAGCAACGGAUCUCUAGAUCGGAAGAGCACA